AAUCGAUUGAAUGCAGUGAGGUAACUUGAGUGACAGUCGGUUGCCAGAUGUCAUUGGGCAUCUCCGGUGGACAAAUCCUCUAAUCUAUAUGGGUGGAGAUGAUCCAGCCCGACAAAUACAAGGAUAAGCCACCAUUUCCUGUUUCAGAUCGAGGGACGACGACGUAGACUAGGACGCCAGGCUACUGCUAGGAAUAUCGAAUUGAUGGUGCCGGGAUUAUGGCGCAAUCGGUUUAGACUUCGCCGCACGAAACCGGGAUGUUUGGAGCUAGCUAGAUCGGCCACUUGAGGUUGCGCGCUAGUUACGGGAUCAUUACCCUAACGUUUAGCCAUCGUCGGCACAUUCAUCCUAAAUUCAAACUACUUACUUGCAUAAAUACAAUUAAUGUUAUUUCAUUGAACUUAACAAUUGCUUACUACACAUUUUCCGGAAUUUGCACUUUGUAUUACCUAGCUUAACACGUGCUAUUGCAUAAGCAUAAUUUUAAUAUAAAUAGUAGAUCGAAUAUAAGUACAGCAACUUGUUAUAAUCAAUCAGCCAGCGAAAGCUAUGCUCGAAUAAAUCGGUUUAGUUCAAAUUAA